UCCCAGGACCCAUCUUACCUGGCAGUGCUUGAUUGUAUGACUGGUCUUCUAACACUGUCUGGUAACGAUGUUUCCUGGGGGCC
rnacentral:pre_miRNA from 10 species